rfam:Pseudomonas sp. VI4.1 NODE_13_length_128320_cov_37.6271, whole genome shotgun sequence.
ACGUUCUUGUCGGGGUGCCUUGCUAUGAGGCUGAGAUCGAAUAAUUUCGGAUCCCGUUGAACCUGAUCAGGUUAACGCCUGCGUAGGGAACAAGAUUUCUCGUCAC